UUUACUUUUGAUAUGAUUCCAAAGGGAUAGGGUUCUUAGAGAGGAAGAGUAAGAGAUGGAAAAUCUUCUCUUGCAAAAUCAGAUGAGUCACUUUAGAAGACAAAGAAUUCGAUUCCUUUCCUUCUUUUGUUGGCCAUAGAACCAUAAUAUCCGCCCCCACUUGUGAUAUUCCCCUUCAAAAAGUUAUCGGAGAACAAAAUUCAUGAUCAUUGAUCAAACCGACCAAACAAAACUUCAAAUCGAAUCGCAGACAGACGAUGCUGAAGGAACGAUUCCGCUAGGUUUCAGUUUCAGCUUCAGCUUCAUCCUCAUAUGAUCUUCAACAGCAAGAAGAAAAAAUGUAUCCAAAAAUCUUUCUCAAUACGAGUUAACAGAAACCAGAUUGUGCAGUAUCGACGAAGCAAUCGCGACGCAAACGCUCCGCACAGAGACGGCCGGAAUGAAGGCUUUGGAAUGGCGGUAAGCGCGUCGGCGGUUAUGUCUUCUUUGUCUUCUCGUGGAAUCGCGAUGGGAUCUGAAGCGUCGGAUGGCGAUUAGGUUCGUGCGUUCAACCGCAUCGGAAUUGCUAUUGUUGGCUUUUUCGCUGUGAGACAGAGGAAGAUGCGUCUCCGACGAAGAGGCGCCUCUGGAGGCUGUUUCUUGGGGGAGAUUAUAGGGGCCGGUCUGUGCGUGAGCGUGAGCGAAGAUGGAGUGGGGCUGACGCUGAGAGGCGAGGAGAAGGGGCGCCAUUAACAGCAGAAAUUGGAGAGGUUUAAGCGAGGCCAUGGCGAUGUCUAUGGCUAUGGCUAUGGCGAUAAAUGUGAUUUUAUUGCAGAGGAGGGAUGGAGAUCCUCUGCGCGGAAGGGAUGGAAUUGGCGAUCCCCAUUGUUGAAGGAGAUUGGGGAAGGAGCUAAGAUUAGGAGACGCAAAGGCGAUGCAGAAACAGAGCAGAGACCCAAAAUGAAAGGGCGGUGCCCGGCUGGACGGCGAUCCACUGGCACGACCAGCAAUUACGGCGGAUCGAACCCCCCUUUUGAUACUGAUCUUCUCGGCCAAAUUGGAGCCGACGCUAUUAUCUUCCCGCCGACGCCCCGAUGGGUGGAGCAGAUUCCGGCGGAGUAUUCCGGUGAAGGAAUUCGAAUCCGGGCCGUAGUCAGCGGACGAAACAGCGAGGGAUUCAGAAAACAAGAGAAGAGCAAUUAGGGCUAUCGAAACGAAGGGUUUAACUGCAGCCAUCUGUGUAGGGCUAGGGCAAAUCCAAUUCGAUCUUCUGUUGAUGAGCGAACGGAAUCAGACUAUCAGAGUAUGGAGAUGAAGUGUGUAAUCGCAUAGAUUUAUAUAAAUUUAAGACUCUUUGUGAAGAUGAAUUUCAAUUUCGGAGCGUUUGACCA